rnacentral:rRNA from 1 species
GACGAACGCUGGCGGCGUGCUUAACACAUGCAAGUCGAGCGGUAAGGCCCUUUCGGGGGGUACACGAGCGGCGAACGGGUGAGUAACACGUGGGUGACCUGCCCUUAGCUCUGGGAUAAGCCUGGGAAACUGGGUCUAAUACCGGAUAUGACUCCAUGACGCAUGUUGUGGGGUGGAAAGCCUUGUGCGGCUAGGGAUGGGGCCCGCGGCCUAUCAGCUUGUUGGUGGGGUGAUGGCCUACCAAGGCGACGACGGGUAGCCGGCCUGAGAGGGCGACCGGCC